rnacentral:rRNA from 1 species
AUUGAACGCUGGCGGCAGGCCUAACACAUGCAAGUCGAGCGGAUGAAGGGAGCUUGCUCCUGGAUUCAGCGGCGGACGGGUGAGUAAUGCCUAGGAAUCUGCCUGGUAGUGGGGGAUAACGUCCGGAAACGGGCGCUAAUACCGCAUACGUCCUGAGGGAGAAAGUGGGGGAUCUUCGGACCUCACGCUAUCAGAUGAGCCUAGGUCGGAUUAGCUAGUUGGUGGGGUAAAGGCCUACCAAGGCGACGAUCCGUAACUGGUAUGAGAGGAUGAUCAGUCACACUGGAACUGAGACACGGUCCAGAGUACUACGGGAGGAAGCAGUGGGGAAUAUUGGACAAUGGGCGAAAGCAUGAUCCAGCCAUGCCGCGUGUGUGAAGAAGGUCUUCGGAUUGUAAAGCACUUUAAGUUGGGAGGAAGGGAAGUAAGUUAAUACCUUGCUGUUUUGACGUUACCAAAAGAAUAAGCACCGGCUAACUUCGUG